rnacentral:rRNA from 1 species
CCUACGGGAGGCAGCAGUGAGGAAUUUUCCGCAAUGGGCGACAGCCUGACGGAGCAAUGCCGCGUGAAGGAUGAAGGCCUAUGGGUUGUAAACUUCUUUUCUCAGAGAAGAAGCAUUGACGGUAUCUGAGGAAUAAGCAUCGGCUAACUCUGUGCCAGCAGCCGCGGUAAUAAUCAC